GGCUUCGGGAAGGAGGCGGGGCCAUGGGGAAACCCGAGCUUGGCUGCCAGAGCUGUUCUCUCCGGCGUCGCCUGUGCGUCGUCCUCUGCUAUUCUUCAGUCCUUGGCGCUCUGCUCCUUCCCUCCAGAAGUGGCUCUCACGUUUUCGUCUGCUCUGCUACCUGCUCUUCCCCGUUCGGACUGGAGGAAAGCGGCUCUAACACGAAAGGACACCUUUCUUCACAGGAAUUUAAGUAGCUCAAAUUGCACACGUGAAAUCGAUAGAGAAGACGACUCCCAGGGGUCCUGCUGGGCAUUCAUCAAGUCUGUCCUAGAUCACAGUUGCAGAGGGGGAAGAGCUCAGCGGUGGAACCCGACUGAAAGGAAAUGAGAAGCCCUGCAUUGCUGCAUCUUCAAGACGUGGGUCCCUGUACCUCCUGCAAGGGUGCUGGCCUCAGUAAACCAGGGUCUUACUGUGUAUCUCAGGCCGUCCUUGAAUGUGAAAUCAUCUUUCCUUGGCCUCUCACAUGCUGGAAUUACAGAUGGGUACCACCAUGGGAAGUCCUAUUACAUGCUGUUUUGCAAAGUACAUGCAGGCUUAGAACACUGUAUACAUAAUAAAUAAAUAAAUCUUUAAAAAAAAAAAUCAAGAGAAUCCAGGCAUGCUAGAGAACUUACAAUUGAAAAUAGCGUAGUCAUCUUCAACAUCAGUGCUUGCUGCAGAAGCAUGAGAACCUGAGUUCAAUACUCCAGGCCAUAUCCAGCACCCAUGUGAAAAACUGGGUGUGGUGUUCCUCAUCUGGAAUCCCAGCAAUGAUGAGGGUAGAGACAAAAGGAUUUCUCCAGCAAGACUAGCCAGGUGAGUUAGUUCUAGGUACCCUAUCUCAAAAAAAAACUAACAUGGAGAGUAAUUUCAGAAGAUAUCUGUGUUUUGUAAGUUUCCUCAUAGAUUAAAACAUUCUAUCCUGCAGGAAGCUUCUUAAGCAGGGAGGUAAGCAACUAAAAUAGUUUCAGGAAGUCCCUGAAGCUGACCAGAUUCAACUAGACCUCUUCCUGUCAGAGUAAGCAAUAAAAGCUGAGAUGUUCCUCUCAGAGAAGUGAAACCAAGCUCCAAAGAAGACUCUCGGAGCAGACCAGCUGCCUGGAAGAAGCAGAAACCAGCCAAGGUGCCUAUAGACCAACUGAGGCUGGAAAGAACACUCCAACUGUUGAGGUGCCUGCAGGCCAUGCUGUGUGUUCCAGGUUCCCAUGAGCUGUAACCCACGCUGGGGUAGUCUUUGGUGGCUCUGAGUCAUUUCUGCUCCUGUGAGUAAACCCAGUAAAACACAUUGGUCCAUCA